AUGGACAUCGGUGCUACGGCUCACAUGUUUGCUCAUCCUGAUAAUCUUGUCUCCUUCACUCUUGUCACCACCGACCGCCGUAUCAUUGCCGGCGACGGUUCCACUCUACCUACCACACAUGUCGGGCACACCUCUUUUCCUUCUAGUUCCAUGCCUAUUACUUUGUCUAACAUACUUGUGUCACCUCAUCUUAUUAAAAAUCCCGUUUCCGUUCGUUGUUUAACUCGUGAAAAUCCUAUUACUGUUGAAUUUGACGAGCUUGAUUUUUGUGUCAAGGACGCUCAAACCAGGAUGGUACUUCACCGUUGUGACAGCCUCGACGAGCUCUAUCCGGUGCAUCCGCCGUCCACCUCCACCAUCGCACCGUUGCUCCCUCCGCCGGCGUCGAUCUCUGGCACGCUCGUUUGGGUCAUCACAACCCCGUCAGACUUCGUCAUAUUCUUAGCAGUUUCAGUUUCUGUUGUAAUAAGAUAG
rnacentral:rRNA from 1 species